GAGGGUAUAGCUUAGUGGUAGAGUGCAUGCUUAGCAUGCACAAAGUCCUGGGUUCAAUCCCCUGUACCUCUA
rnacentral:tRNA from 1 species